rnacentral:sRNA from 1 species
AUUUUUUUCAAGGAUGAGCUUUGCCAGCUCCAUGUGGAAGGCCCUAAAGCUCCUCCUUCCACUUGGAAGCACGACUGAUGCCUCCAGGGCCUCACAGCCACUUCUGAAGCUUUCUGAAAGCCAGCUCCACCCUGGUGAGGCCCUGACCUCAGCGGACCCAAGCCCAGGACAAUGCCUGUUGCAUUCUUCUUCCCCUGUAGCAAGUCACCUUCCCCAGCAGCCUCCACGUUGUCUGGGCUCUCACUUUGGGGGAUGCCAGGGGAGAGUGAGAGGGCAGAGUUGGCCGAGAUGGCGUGUGCUGACUUCUCUCCUGGAACAUGCUGCUUCCACACAGCAGUGCCAGUGUCUCCAUGUGAGUUCAUUGAUUGUGGCCUGAGCGAAUUCCUGAGUUUGCUGUUCCAGAUGAUUCUGCAGGGCUUCAAAACCAGCAGGGCACUGAGCAAAGCAGCUCCUUGUUCUCAUGGGCUGAACUCAUCGUGAUGUCACUGGCUAAGGGGGGCAGCAUGGGGUCCAGCCCAGCCCAGGCACAUGGAGCUGCGGUCCCGUCAGGCCAAGUGUGAUGUUUGCCUUCUAGGAUGGCCCCUGAGGCUGCCAGUUCCAGAGAGGGUCCGUCACCCAAAGACAUCCACACUGAAUCCAACCCUCUGCCGUUCUGCCUUGCCCGGCCCUCUGCCGUUCUGCAUUACGCCUGAUUUUUGGAAGUGUUGUGGUUUUGAGUGUUGGCAGCCCAGUGUCACAGAGGACCAUAUCUUAGAAAUGACCCCAGGCGAGAGCUGUGGCUUUCCUGUUCUGUUUGAAGGCGGCUGUUUUAGGGUGCAGAGGGUCCAGGGACACAGCGUGGGCCAUGAGGAAGGGAUGGGUGCUGGGGCCUGGCAGAGCCGGCAGGCGCUGUGACCUUGGUACUUAGUGAGGAAGGGGUGGGUGCUGUGACCCCAGUAGUUAGGAAAGGAUGGGUGCUGGGGCCUGGCAGAGCCGGCAGGCACUGUGACCUCGGUACUUAGUGAGGAAGGGGUGGGUGCUGUGACCCUGGCACUUAAUGAGGAAGGGAUGGAUGGGUGCUGGGGCCUGGCAGAGCCGGCAGGCACUGUGACCUUGGUACUUAGUGAGGAAGGGGUGGGCACUGUGACCCCAGCACUUAGUGAGGAAGGGGUGGGCACUGUGUCCCCAGCACUUAGGAACGGGUGGGCACUGUGACCCCGGCACUUAGUGAGGAAGGGGUGGGCGCUGUGACCCCGGCACUUAGUGAGGAAGGGGUGGGCGCUGUGACCCCGGCACUUAGUGAGGAAGGGGUGGGCGCUGUGACCCCGGCACUUAGUGAGGAAGGGGUGGGCGCUGUGACCCCGGCACUUAGUGAGGAAGGGGUGGGCGCUGUGUCCCCGGCACUUAGGAAUGGGUGGGUGCUAUGACCCUGGCACUUAGUGACCCUGUUGGAGCCUCACCUCCCAGAUCCAUAAAGCAGGGAUCAUGAAAACCAACUGCAGGCAGCAGGGCCUAUGGGGCACUCAGAUGUCAAGAAUACGAACACGUGGCUGCUGUUCCUCCCCCUGUUCCCGGUGCAGGUGCAGACCCUGAUAGUCGUGAUCAUCGGGAUGCUCGUGCUCCUGCUGGACCUUCUUGGCUUGGUGCACCUGGGCCAGCUGCUCAUCUUCCACAUCUACCUGA